AUGUAAAGUCAUUAAUUAAUAAAUACCAUUACAAAGAGGUAGCCAACACUGUUUUUAAUUUUUUUUUUUUUAAUUGGGGUAGCCCCCAAAAUAUUGGGACAUAUAAAAAAAGCGAGCAGCAGCAGGGUGAGAAUGCCAAAAGCGCGCACAGACAGCCUGUACUUUCUGCAGCAGCUCUGAUAUAUCUGGGUAUACACCGUAGCAUCACAAGGGCCACCCGGAACUGUCUCAACUCCCAUCAAGCCAAGUUCCCGGAGGAGAUAACCCAGCUCGUCAUGCUAGAGCACUUUUUCAAUGUACUCCUCAACGAGAAGACGACUCAUUCGUAUGUCAAUCCAUAUCAACUUUCGAUGCUAUUGACUGCGCCUACCAUGGUGACCACGGGUAAUGGGGAAUCAGGGUUCAAUUCCGUACAGGGACCCUGACAAACGGCUACCACAUGCAAGGAAGGUA